AUGAAUGGAAGGGGCUUCCACAAGGUUAAUGAAGCCCUCUUCACCUUGCUCUCGAAGCGAGCGGACGCACAAACACUUUUCGAUUACCGGCCCAUCAGCCUCAUUCACCUCUCCAAGCUUGUCGCGAAGGUGCUCUUCCUUAGACUGGCACCACGAUUGGGACACAUGGUGUCCACCAAUCAAAGCGCGUUUAUUGCGGGGCGUUGCAUCCACGAUAAUUUCCUCUUGGUGCAAAAGACCGCUCGCCUCCUUCACAACGUUAGGACGCCGCGCAUGCUCCUCAAGCUUGAUAUUGCACGGGCCUUCGAUAGCGUCUCCUGA
rnacentral:rRNA from 1 species